UACGUAGGGUGCGAGCGUUGUCCGGAAUUAUUGGGCGUAAAGAGCUCGUAGGCGGUUUGUCGCGUCUGCUGUGAAAACCUGCAGCUUAACUGUGGGCGUGCAGUCGAUACGGGCAAACUAGAGUAUUGCAGGGGAGACUGGAAUUCCUGGUGUAGCGGUGAAAUGCGCAGAUAUCAGGAGGAACACCGGUGGCGAAGGCGGGUCUCUGGGCAAUAACUGACGCUGAGGAGCGAAAGCGUGGGGAGCGAACAGG
rnacentral:rRNA from 1 species